UAAUACGGAGGGUGCGAGCGUUGUCCGGAAUCACUGGGCGUAAAGGGCGCGUAGGCGGUGGGGUAAGGCUAUGGUGAAAGCCCGGGGCUCAACCCCGGGUCGGCCGUGGCGACUGCCCGACUCGAGCACAGUAGAGGCAGGUGGAAUUCCGGGUGUAGCGGUGGAAUGCGUAGAGAUCCGGAAGAACACCGGUGGCGAAGGCGGCCUGCUGGGCUGUGGCUGACGCUGAGGCGCGACAGCGUGGGGAGCAAACAGGAUUAGAUACCCUGGUAGUCCACGCCCUAAACGAUGUCGACUGGGUGUUGGGGAAGCGAUUUCCCAGUACCGUAGCUAACGCGUGAAGUCGACCGCCUGGGGAGUACGGCCGCAAGGUUA
rnacentral:rRNA from 1 species